rnacentral:rRNA from 1 species
AGUCGAACGAUGAACCUCCUUCGGGAGGGGAUUAGUGGCGAACGGGUGAGUAACACGUGGGCAAUCUGCCCUUCACUCUGGGACAAGCCCUGGAAACGGGGUCUAAUACCGGAUACGAGCCUCCACGGCAUCUUGGAGGUUGGAAAGCUCCGGCGGUGAAGGAUGAGCCCGCGGCCUAUCAGCUUGUUGGUGAGGUAAUGGCUCACCAAGGCGACGACGGGUAGCCGGCCUGAGAGGGCGACCGGCCACACUGGGACUGAGACACGGCCCAGACUCCUACGGGAGGCAGCAGUGGGGAAUAUUGCACAAUGGGCGAAAGCCUGAUGCAGCGACCCCCCGUGAGGGAUGACGGCCUUCGGGUUGUAAACCUCUUUCAGCAGGGAAGAAGCGAAAGUGACGGUACCUGCAGAAGAAGCGCCAGCUAACUACGUGCCAGCAGCCGCGGUAAUACGUAGGGCGCACGCGUUGUCCGGAAUUAUUGGGCGUAAAGAGCUCGUAUGCGGCUUGUCACGUCGGGUGUGAAAGCCCGGGGCUUAACCCCGGGUCUGCAUUCGAUACGGGCUAGCUAGAGUGUGGUAGCGGAGAUUGGAAUUCCCGGUGCAGCGGUGAAAUGCGCAGAUAUCAGGAGGAACACCGGUGGCGAAGGCGGAUCUUUGGGCCAUUACUGACGCUGAGGAGCGAAAGCGUGGGGAGCGAACAGGAUUAGAUACCCUGGUAGUCCACGCCGUAAACGGUGGGAACUAGGUGUUGGCGACAUUCCACGUUGUCGGUGCCGCAGCUAACGCAUUAAGUUCCCCGCCUGGGGAGUACGGCCGCAAGGCUAAAACUCAAAGGAAUUGACGGGGGCCCGCACCAGCGGCGGAGCAUGUGGCUUAAUUCGACGCAACGCGAAGAACCUUACCAAGGCUUGACAUACACCGGAAACAUUAGAGAUAGUGCCCCCCUUGUGGUCGGUGUACAGGUGGUGCAUGGCCGUUGUCAGCUCGUGUCUGAGAUGUUGGGUUAAGUCCCGCAACGAGCGCAACCCUUGUUCUGUGUUGCCAGCCUGCCCUUCGGGGUGAUGGGGACUCACAGGAGACCGCCGGGGUCAACUCGGAGGAAGGUGGGGACGACGUCAAGUCAUCAUGCCCCUUAUGUCUUGGGCUGCACACGUGCUACAAUGGCC